GUCCACGCCGUAAACGAUGACAACUAGGUGUCGGGCAUCUAAGGAUGUUCGGUGCCGCAGCUAACGCGAUAAGUUGUCCGCCUGGGGAGUACGGCCGCAAGGCUAAAACUCAAAGGAAUUGACGGGGCCCGCACAAGCAGCGGAGCGUGUGGUUUAAUUCGAUGCAACGCGAAGAACCUUACCUGGCCUUGACAUGCAGGUGGUAGGGAACCGAAAGGGGACCGACCCUCGGGAGCCUGCACAGGUGCUGCAUGGCUGUCGU
rnacentral:rRNA from 1 species